AUGUUUUCUUUCUCUUUUUUUU
rnacentral:sRNA from 1 species